rnacentral:rRNA from 1 species
UACGGGGGGGGGCAAGCGUUGUUCGGAAUUACUGGGCGUAAAGGGCUCGUAGGGGGCCAACUAAGUCAGACGUGAAAUCCCUCGGCUUAACCGGGGAACUGCGUCUGAUACUGGAUGGCUUGAGUUUGGGAGAGGGAUGCGGAAUUCCAGGUGUAGCGGUGAAAUGCGUAGAUAUCUGGAGGAACACCGGUGGCGAAGGCGGCAUCCUGGACCAACACUGACACUGAUGAGCGAAAGCCAGGGGAGCAAACGGG